UACGUAGGGUGCAAGCGUUGUCCGGAAUUAUUGGGCGUAAAGAGCUCGUAGGCGGUUUGUCGCGUCUGCUGUGAAAACUCGGGGCUUAACCCCGGGCCUGCAGUGGGUACGGGCAGACUAGAGUGCGGUAGGGGAGACUGGAAUUCCUGGUGUAGCGGUGAAAUGCGCAGAUAUCAGGAGGAACACCGGUGGCGAAGGCGGGUCUGCUGGCCGUAACUGACGCGUGAGGAAGCGAAAGGCGUAGGGGAGCGAA
rnacentral:rRNA from 1 species